GACGAAGGGGGCUAGCGUUGUUCGGAAUUACUGGGCGUAAAGCGUGCGUAGGUGGUUCGUUAAGUCCGAUGUGAAAGCCCUGGGCUCAACCUGGGAAUGGCAUUGGAUACUGGCGGGCUAGAGUGCGGUAGAGGGCAGUGGAAUUCCCGGUGUAGCAGUGAAAUGCGUAGAGAUCGGGAGGAACAUCUGUGGCGAAGGCGACUGCCUGGACCAGCACUGACACUGAGGCACGAAAGCGUGGGGAGCAAACAGG
rnacentral:rRNA from 1 species